rnacentral:rRNA from 1 species
AACGUAGGUUCCGAGCGUUAUCCGGAUUUACUGGGCGUAAAGAGCGCGUAGGCGGUCUGUUAAGUGUAGAGUGAAAUCUCUGGGCUCACCCCAGAAACUGCUCUGCAUACUGGCAGACUUGAGGGAUGCAGAGGUUUGUGGAAUUCCUGGUGUAGCGGUGAAAUGCGUUGAUAUCAGGAGGAACACCCAUGGCGAAGGCAGCAAACUGGGCAUCAUCUGACGCUGAGGCGCGAAAGCGUGGGUAGCAAACAGG